rnacentral:rRNA from 1 species
AUUGAACGCUGGCGGCAGGCCUAACACAUGCAAGUCGAACGAGUGGCGGACGGGUGAGUAAUGUCUGGGAAACUGCCUGAUGGAGGGGGAUAACUCCUGGAAACGGUAGCUAAUACCGCAUACCAUCAGAUGUACCCAGAUGGGAUUAGCUAGUAGGUGGGGUAAAGUCUCACCUAGGCGACGAUCCCUAGCUGGUCUGAGAGGAUGACAAGCAACACUGGAACGGAGACACGGUCCAGACUCCGACGGGAGGCAGCAGUGGGGAAUAUUGCACAAGGGGCGCAAGCCUGAUGCAGCCAUGCCGCGUGUAUGAAGAAGGCCUUCGGGUUGUAAAGUACUUUCAGCGGGGAGGCGUUACCGGCAGAAGAAGCACCGGCUAACGCCGUGCCAGCAGCCGCGGUAAUUC